CCUACGGGAGGCAGCAGUGGGGAAUUUUGGACAAUGGGCGAAAGCCUGAUCCAGCAAUGCCGCGUGCAGGAAGAAGGCCUUCGGGUUGUAAACUGCUUUUGUACGGAACGAAACGGUCUGCUUUAAUACAGUGGGCUAAUGACGGUACCGUAAGAAUAAGCACCGGCUAACUACGUGCCAGCAGCCGCGGUAAUACGUAGGGUGCGAGCGUUAAUCGGAAUUACUGGGCGUAAAGCGUGCGCAGGCGGUUAUAUAAGACAGUUGUGAAAUCCCCGGGCUCAACCUGGGAAUUGCAUCUGUGACUGUAUAGCUAGAGUACGGUAGAGGGGGAUGGAAUUCCGCGUGUAGCAGUGAAAUGCGUAGAUAUGCGGAGGAACACCGAUGGCGAAGGCAAUCCCCUGGACCUGUACUGACGCUCAUGCACGAAAGCGUGGGGAGCAAACAGGAUUAGAUACCCUGGUAGUCCACGCCCUAAACGAUGUCAACUGGUUGUUGGGUGCAUUAGUACUCAGUAACGAAGCUAACGCGUGAAGUUGACCGCCUGGGGAAUCGGCCGCAAGGUUGAAACUGAAGAUGAGCGNGAGAGNGCGAGACGACGACGAGGAGGAGG
rnacentral:rRNA from 1 species